rnacentral:rRNA from 1 species
UACAGAGGGGGCAAGCGUUGUUCGGAAUUACUGGGCGUAAAGGGCGCGUAGGCGGCCUUCUAAGUCGAACGUGAAAUCCCUGGGCUCAACCCAGGAACUGCGUCCGAUACUGGAAGGCUUGAAUCCGGGAGAGGGAUGCGGAAUUCCAGGUGUAGCGGUGAAAUGCGUAGAUAUCUGGAGGAACACCGGUGGCGAAGGCGGCAUCCUGGACCGGUACUGACGCUGAGGAGCGAAAGCGUGGGGAGCGAACAGG